rnacentral:tRNA from 1 species
CACUAAGAAGCUAAAUGGUUAGCGCUAGCCUUUUAAGCUAGAAUUAGGGGACCAACAUUCACCCUCACCCCCUUAGUGG